UAUGUGGUUUAAUUCGAUGCAACGCGAAGAACCUUACCUGGUCUUGACAUCCCGGAGACCCUUAGGAACUAGGGGUGCUUCCAUCUGGAAGAAUCUGGAGACAGGUGCUGCAUGGCUGUCGUCAGCUCGUGUCGUGAGAUGUUGGGUUAAGUCCCGCAACGAGCGCAACCCUUGCCUUUAGUUGCCAGCAGUUCGGCUGGGCACUCUAAAGGGACUGCCGGUGUUAAACCGGAGGAAGGUGGGGAUGACGUCAAGUCCUCAUGGCCUUUAUGACCAGGGCUACACACGUACUACAAUGGCCGAUACAAAGGGCAGCGACACUGCGAGGUGAAGCCAAUCCCGUAAAAUCGGUCUCAGUCCGGAUUGGAGUCUGCAACUCGACUCCAUGAAGUUGGAAUCGCUAGUAAUCGUGGAUCAGCAUGCCACGGUGAAUACGUUCCCGGGCCUU
rnacentral:rRNA from 1 species